rfam:Sorex araneus cont1.069439, whole genome shotgun sequence.
CCCUCCGAGGCAGCUGUCAACAUCUGAGAUGGCCAGCAAAUGGGGGCCGGGCAUGGGAGCUUGGCCCACGGUGACUCAGCUCUCCUGGGC